GAUGAACGCUGGCGGCGUGCCUAAUACAUGCAAGUCGAGCGAAUGGAUUAAGAGCUUGCUCUUAUGAAGUUAGCGGCGGACGGGUGAGUAAUACGUGGGUAACCUGCCCAUAAGACUAGGAUAACUCCGGGAAACCGGGGCUAAUACCGGAUAACAUUUUGAACCGCAUGGUUCGAAAUUGAAAGGCGGCUUCGGCUGUCACUUAUGGAUGGACCCGCGUCGCAUUAGCUAGUUGGUGAGGUAACGGCUCACCAAGGCAACGAUGCGUAGCCGACCUGAGAGGGUGAUCGGCCACACUGGGACUGAGACACGGCCCAGACUCCUACGGGAGGCAGCAGUAGGGAAUCUUCCGCAAUGGACGAAAGUCUGACGGAGCAACGCCGCAUGAGUGAUGAAGGCUUUCGGGUCGUAAAACUCUGUUGUUAGGGAAGAACAAGUGCUAGUUGAAUAAGCUGGCACCUUGACGGUACCUAACCAGAAAGCCACGGCUAACUACGUGCCAGCAGCCGCAGUAA
rnacentral:rRNA from 1 species